GCACGAGUAUGUUCGUAGGAUGUUUUUGAGGUUGUGUGCAUGUUUGGUUUGAAACCCCGAGGGCUCGGGAGAGAUUUGGAGUAGGUGUCGAGUUCAUUUUGCAUGGUUGGAACCUGUUUCUGGUGUAUCAGACCUGCAGGCUUCGCAAUUGCGAAGCCUGGUUCGCAUUUGCGAAAGAGGUCCUGGUCCAGCUAAUCUCGCAAAUGCGAGUUCUACUUCGCAAAUGCGAAGUCUUCUCUCUUCCUUCAGUCAUCGCAAAUGCGAUGAUAUUCUUCGCAAUUGCGACCUUUCCACAUUCCAGCCCAGGUUCGCAUUUGCGAACUCCCAUCUCGCAAAUGCGAGGUGCCCUUCUUUGAUGCCCAGUUUGCAAUUUCGAAUUCGAUCUCGCAAUUGCGAGGUCCGUGUCUGCACAAAAUAUACUUAACCGAUUUUAAAGUUCUUUUUCAUAA
rnacentral:lncRNA from 1 species